AUGCUCACUUCCGCAGCACAUACACUAAAACUGGAAUGAUGCAGAGAAGCUAGCAUGGCCCCUGCGAAAGGAUGACACACAAAUUUGUGAAGCGUUCCAUAUUUAA
rnacentral:snRNA from 1 species